CUCUCGCUGAUUUUGGACAUUUCGGGGGACCGAAGUUGAUAUCAUGGAAAGCAGUGAAGGAGUGCGGCGGCGCCUUUCCGAUUCAGAAGAAGAGGACACUGCCACACAGCCACUGCCCCCUCUGUUGGACCGUCAGGGCACCCAUUGGAGGAACGCGGUGGGUUUCUGGCUCCUGGGCCUUUGCAACAACUUCUCCUAUGUAGUGAUGCUCAGUGCUGCCCAUGACAUCCUUAGCCACCACAGGGCACCAGGGAA